GGGAACUACGAGCCAAGCUUAAAACCCAAAGGACUUGACGGUACCCCAUAUCCCCCUAGAGGAGCCUGUCCUAUAAUCGAUAACCCCCGUUCAACCUCACCAUUUCUAGCAACUCAGCCUGUAUACCUCCGUCGUCAGCUUACCACGUGAGCGCUAGUGAGCUCAAUGUUCCUCCAACUAAACGUCAGGUCAAGGUGCAACAUAUGAAAUGGGAAGAGAUGGGCUACACUUUCUAAUAUAGAUCACACGGAAGACUAACUAUGAAACCUAGUCAGAAG
rnacentral:rRNA from 1 species